CGCGCGGAUCUUCCAGAGAUUAGAGUUUGAUCCUGGCUCAGGAUGAACGUUGGCGGUGUGCCUAAUACAUGCAAGUCGAACGGUGGUUAUUUUGUAGUAAUACGAAGUGAUCAUAGUGGCGAACGGGUGAGUAACGCAUUGGUGAUCUGCCUCGAAGUGUGGAAUAACGUUCCGAAAGGAACGCUAAUACCGCAUGUGCUCUCGAUUUUUAGGAAGUUGAGAGUAAAGGAUUUAUUCGCUUCGAGAGGAGCCUGCGUCCCAUCAGCUAGUUGGUAAGGUAAUGGCCUACCAAGGCAAUGACGGGUAGGGGACCUGAGAGGGUGGCCCCCCACAAUGGAACUGAAACACGGUCCAUACACCUACGGGUGGCAGCAGUAGGGAAUAUUAGAAAUGGACGAAAGUCUGAUCUAGCGACACCGCGUGUGCGAUGAAGGCCUUCGGGUUGUAAAGCACUUUUUGGAAGGAAUAGGAAGGAAGGUACUUCCAGAAUAAGUCUCGGCUAACUACGUGCCAGCAGCCGCGGUAACACGUAGGAGGCAAACGUUAUCCGGAUUUACUGGGCGUAAAGCGCGUGUAGGUGGUUCUGUAAGUAGGGCGUGAAAGCUCCCGGCUCAACUGGGAGAGGCCGU
rnacentral:rRNA from 1 species